rnacentral:misc_RNA from 1 species
UGCAGUCGACGACUGCCCCACUAAACGCAAUUUUGCCGGCUUCAGAACACGGUGUCGCGUUGAUUUGCGCUUCUCGUCCAUCGGAAACCUGCCCUGUUGGCGGCACAAUGCGGGGCAUCUCCAGGUUGUCACCCCAUGAUCGAGGUGAAGAUGCCCUUGCCACCCGCAAGCCGGAAAAUCGUUCUGGGUGUGGCGAUCCAUCUUGCACACCCGAA